rnacentral:rRNA from 1 species
AGAGUUUGAUCCUGGCUCAGAUUGAACGCUGGCGGUAUGCUUAACACAUGCAAGUCGAACGGAAACGAUACUAGCUUGCUAGUAGGCGUCGAGUGGCGGACGGGUGAGUAACGCGUAGGAAUCUACCAGAUAGUGGGGGAUAGCCCGGAGAAAUUCGGAUUAAUACCGCAUAAUCUCUACGGAGUAAAGGAGGCCUCUAUUUAUAAGCUUUCGCUAUCUGAUGAGCCUGCGUAAGAUUAGCUAGUUGGUGAGGUAAAAGCUCACCAAGGCGACGAUCUUUAGCUGGUCUGAGAGGAUGAUCAGCCACACUGGGACUGAGACACGGCCCAGACUCCUACGGGAGGCAGCAGUGGGGAAUAUUGGACAAUGGGCGCAAGCCUGAUCCAGCAAUACCGCGUGUGUGAAGAAGGCCUGAGGGUUGUAAAGCACUUUCAAUUGUGAAGAAAAGCUAAAGGUUAAUAACCUUUAGCCUUGACGUUAACUUUAGAAGAAGCACCGGCUAACUCCGUGCCAGCAGCCGCGGUAAUACGGAGGGUGCAAGCGUUAAUCGGAAUUACUGGGCGUAAAGCGUGCGUAGGUGGUUUGUUAAGUUAGAUGUGAAAGCCCUGGGCUCAACCUAGGAACUGCAUUUAAAACUGGCAAACUAGAGUAUGGGAGGGGGAGAUGGAAUUAGUGGUGUAGGGGUAAAAUCCGUAGAUAUCACUAGGAAUACCGAAAGCGAAGGCGAUCUCCUGGAACAAUACUGACGCUAAGGCGUGAAAGCGUGGGGAGCAAACGGGAUUAGAUACCCCGGUAGUCCACGCCCUAAACGAUGUUCACUAGUCGUCGGGAUGCUAGUCAUCUCGGUGAUGCACUUAACAGAUUAAGUGAACCGCCUGGGGAGUACGGUCGCAAGAUUAAAACUCAAAGGAAUAGACGGGGACCCGCACAAGUGGUGGAGCAUGUGGUUUAAUUCGAAGAUACGCGAAGAACCUUACCUAGCCUUGACAUUGAUUGAACGGACCAGAGAUGGACCGGUGCCCUUCGGGGAACAUGAAAACAGGUGCUGCACGGCUGUCGUCAGCUCGUGUCGUGAGAUGUUGGGUUAAGUCCCGCAACGAGCGCAACCCUCGUCCUUAGUUGCCAGCAGGUUAAGCUGGGCACUCUAGGGAGACUGCCUUCGUAAGGAGGAGGAAGGUGAGGACGACGUCAAGUCAUCAUGGCCCUUAUGGCUAGGGCUACACACGUGCUACAAUGGGGCGUACAGAGAGUUGCGAUACCGCGAGGUGGAGCGAAUCCCACAAAGCUUGUCGUAGUCCGGAUCGGAGUCUGCAACUCGACUCCGUGAAGUCGGAAUCGCUAGUAAUCGUAGAUCAGAAUGCUACGGUGAAUACGUUCCCGGGCCUUGUACACACCGCCCGUCACACCAUGGGAGUGGGUUGCAAAAGAAGUGGCUAGUUUAACCUUCGGGAGGACGGUCACCACUUUGUGAUUCAUGACUGGGGUGAAGUCGUAACAAGGUAACC